AAUGGACGAAAGUCUGAUCCAGCCAUGCCGCGUGCAGGAUGACAGCCUACGGGUUGUAAACUGCUUUUAUACAGGAAGAACACUCCGACGUGUCGGAGCUUGACGGUACUGUAAGAAUAAGGAUCGGCUAACUCCGUGCCAGCAGCCGCGGUAAUACGGAGGAUCCAAGCGUUAUCCGGAAUCAUUGGGUUUAAAGGGUCCGCAGGCUGUUUUUUAAGUCAGAGGUGAAAUCCUGCAGCUUAACUGUAGAACUGCCUUUGAUACUGGAAAACUUGAGUUAUUGUGAAGUGGUUAGAAUGUGUGGUGUAGCGGUGAAAUGCAUAGAUAUCACACAGAAUACCGAUUGCGAAGGCAGAUCACUAACAAUAUACUGACGCUCAUGGACGAAAGCGUGGGGAGCGAACAGGAUU
rnacentral:rRNA from 1 species